CUUACAUAUUAAACUUUUUCCAUUCUUUUUCUCACAGAAUUCUUAGAUGUCCGUUUCUACAGAGUUGAUCUUGCCUUGGACCCCAAAACAGCUCAUCCAAGACUGGAAGUAUCUGAAGACGGGAAGAGUGUGUUGGACACUGGAAAUAUUUGUGAAGUUUCUAAGAGUAAAGAGAGAUUUGAUUCCCA